GGGGUUGUGGCUCAGUGGUAGAGCGUUUGUCUAGCACAUGCGAUGGCCUGGGUUCGAUUCUCAGCACCA
rnacentral:tRNA from 1 species